rnacentral:rRNA from 1 species
CCUACGUGGGGCAGCAGUGAGGAAUAUUGGUCAAUGGGCGCGAGCCUGAACCAGCCAAGUAGCGUGAAGGAUGACUGCCCUACGGGUUGUAAACUUCUUUUAUAAAGGAAUAAAGUGAGGCACGUGUGCCUUUUUGUAUGUACUUUAUGAAUAAGGAUCGGCUAACUCCGUGCCAGCAGCCGCGGUAAUACGGAGGAUCCGAGCGUUAUCCGGAUUUAUUGGGUUUAAAGGGAGCGUAGAUGGGUUGUUAAGUCAGUUGUGAAAGUUUGCGGCUCAACCGUAAAAUUGCAAUUGAUACUGGCAGUCUUGAGUACAGUUGAGGUAGGCGGAAUUCGUGGUGUAGCGGUGAAAUGCUUAGAUAUCACGAAGAACUCCGAUGGCGAAGGCAGCUUACUAAACUGCCACUGACAUUGAUGCUCGAAAGUGUGGGUAUCAAACAGGAUUAGAUACCCCAGUAGUC